UCCUACGGGGGGCUGCAGUAGGGAAUAUUGGUCAAUGGACGCAAGUCUGAACCAGCCAUGCCGCGUGCAGGAUGAAGGCGCUCUGCGUUGUAAACUGCUUUUGUACGGGAAGAAUAUAUCGUUUGCGAACGGUUUUGACGGUACCGUAAGAAUAAGAAUCGGCUAACUACGUGCCAGCAGCCGCGGUAAUACGUAGGAUCCAAGCGUUGUCCGGAUUUAUUGGGUUUAAAGGGUGCGCAGGCGGCCUGAUAAGUCAGUGGUGAAAGCCCGUUGCUUAACAACGGAACUGCCAUUGAUACUGUCGGGCUUGAGUACAGUUGAGGUUGGCGGAAUGUAUCAUGUAGCGGUGAAAUGCUUAGAUAUGAUACAGAACACCGAUUGCGAAGGCAGCUGACUAAGCUGUUACUGACGCUCAGGCACGAAAGCGUGGGGAUCAAACAGGAUUAGAUACCCUGGUAGUCCACGCCGUAAACGUUGAUAACUCGAUGUUGGCGAUAUACAGUCAGCGUCUUAGCGAAAGCGUUAAGUUAUCCACCUGGGGAGUACGCCGGCAACGGUGAAACUCAAAGGAAUUGACGG
rnacentral:rRNA from 1 species